GGACGAACGCUGGCGGCAUGCCUAACACAUGCAAGUCGAACGGGGGUAGCAAUACCCUAGUGACGAACGGGUGAGUAACACAUAAGCAAUCUGCCCUUCACAGGGGGAUAACAGCGGGAAACUGCUGCUAAUACCGCAUAAGACCACGGUACCGCAUGGUACAGGGGUAAAAACGAAUCAGUGGUGAAGGAUGAGCUUAUGUCCCAUUAGCUAGUUGGUGAGAUAACAGCCCCACCAAGGCGACGAUGGGUAGCCGACCUGAAAGGGUGAUCGGCCACACUGGAACUGAGACACGGUCCAGACUCCUACGGGAGGCAGCAGUGGGGAAUAUUGGGCAAUGGAGGAAACUUCCUUACCCAGCAAUGCCGCGUGAGUGAAGAAGGUCUUCGGAUUGUAAAGCUCUUUGAUUGGGGACGAAGAAAGUGACGGUACCCAAAGAACAAGCCCCGGCUAACUACGUGCCAGCAGCAGC
rnacentral:rRNA from 1 species